GUGGGGAAUCUUCCGCAAUGGACGAAAGUCUGACGGAGCAACGCCGCGUGAGUGAAGAAGGUUUUCGGAUCGUAAAGCUCUUUCGUUAGGGACGAACGUGCUCUUUGUGAAUAAUGAGGAGUAAUGACGGUACCUAAAUAAGAAGCCACGGCUAACUACGUGCCAUCAGCCGCGGUAAUACGUAGGUGGAAAGCGUUGUCCGGAAUUAUUGGGCGUAAAGCGCGCGCAGGCGGGAUAUCAAGUCUGGCUUAAAAGUGCGAGGCUCAACCUCGUGAGGGGACAGAAAAUGGUAUUCUUGAGGGUCGGAGAGGAAAGUGGAAUUCCAAGUGUAGCGGUGAAAUGCGUAGAGAUUUGGAAGAACACCAGUGGCGAAGGCGACUUUCUGGACGAUGUCUGACGCUGAGGCGCGAAAGCUAGGGGAGCGAACGGGAUUAGAAACCCCUGUAGUCC
rnacentral:rRNA from 1 species